rnacentral:rRNA from 1 species
CCCUUAGAUGUUCUGGGCCGCACGCGUGCUACACUGAUGCAUUCAACGAGUCUAAAACCUGGUCUGAUAGGGCUGGGUAAUCUUUUGAAAGUACAUCGUGAUAGGGAUAGAUGAUUGCAAUUCUUCAUCUUCAACGAGGAAUGCCUAGUAAACGCAAGUCAUCAGCUUGCAUUGAUUACGUCCCUGCCCUUUGUACACACCGCCCGUCGCUCCUACCGAUUGAAUGAUCCGAUGAAUACCAUGGAUUGAGAGUACGAAUAGGUUCGCUUAUUUCUGCUGCUCGAGAAGUGGAGUAAAUCUUAUCAUUUAGAGGAAGGAGAAGUCGUAACA